rnacentral:rRNA from 1 species
AGAGAGAGACAUGCGCGCAUAUCAAUAAGCGGAGGAAAAGAAACUAACAAGGAUUCCCUUAGUAACGGCGAGUGAAGCGGGAAGAGCUCAAAUUUGAAAUCUUCAAGGUUUUACCUUGACGAAUUGUAGUUUAAAGAAGUGUUUUCUGCUGAAGUUUUGGUAAAAGUUCUUUGGAAUAGGACAUCAUAGAGGGUGAGAAUCCCGUAUUUGACCAUUAUUUUCAGCUUUGUGAUACACUUUCAAAGAGUCGGAUUGUUUGGGAAUGCAGUCCAAAAUGGGUGGUAAAUUUCAUCUAAAGCUAAAUAUUGGCGAGAGACCGAUAGCGAACAAGUACCGUGAGGGAAAGAUGAAAAGAACUUUGAAAAGAGAGUUAAACAGUACGUGAAAUUGUCAAAAGGGAAGCGUUUGACACCAGUGUUGUUUUCUCGAAAAUCAAUUAAAAAUGGCUAGAUUUUGUAUUGUAUUGAGACCUUAAUCAAGCUUCACUGCUACAUCUUUUCGUGUCUUUUUUAAUGCACUUUUCGUUUAACAAGUCAACAUCAGUUUCUUUUGUUGUAAAAGGGUCAUUGGAAGGUGGCUUUCUUUUCGGAGAAAGUGUUUAUAGCCUUUGGCCUCUGCAAUCGGAGAGACUUGAGGUCUGCAGCGUAGACUCCUUCGGGGUUAGAUACAUUUGUGCUAAGUUAUAGCCUUUUCAUAGACAACUUGUUGACUAUAAUCAGUCAUGUAGCUUACUCGCUUAUGCUAUUUUACCUACGCUUAGGAUGUUGAAGAUGUAGCACAUCAU